rnacentral:rRNA from 1 species
GACGAACGCUGGCGGCGUGCCUAAUACAUGCAAGUCGAACGAACUCUGGUAUUGAUUGGUGCUUGCAUCAUGAUUUACAUUUGAGUGAGUGGCGAACUGGUGAGUAACACGUGGGAAACCUGCCCAGAAGCGGGGGAUAACACCUGGAAACAGAUGCUAAUACCGCAUAACAACUUGGACCGCAUGGUCCGAGUUUGAAAGAUGGCUUCGGCUAUCACUUUUGGAUGGUCCCGCGGCGUAUUAGCUAGAUGGUGAGGUAACGGCUCACCAUGGCAAUGAUACGUAGCCGACCUGAGAGGGUAAUCGGCCACAUUGGGACUGAGACACGGCCCAAACUCCUACGGGAGGCAGCAGUAGGGAAUCUUCCACAAUGGACGAAAGUCUGAUGGAGCAACGCCGCGUGAGUGAAGAAGGGUUUCGGCUCGUAAAACUCUGUUGUUAAAGAAGAACAUAUCUGAGAGUAACUGUUCAGGUAUUGACGGUAUUUAACCAGAAAGCCACGGCUAACUACGUGCCAGCAGCCGCGGUAAUACGUAGGUGGCAAGCGUUGUCCGGAUUUAUUGGGCGUAAAGCAAGCGCAGGCGGUUUUUUAAGUCUGAUGUGAAAGCCUUCGGCUCAACCGAAGAAGUGCAUCGGAAACUGGGAAACUUGAGUGCAGAAGAGGACAGUGGAACUCCAUGUGUAGCGGUGAAAUGCGUAGAUAUAUGGAAGAACACCAGUGGCGAAGGCGGCUGUCUGGUCUGUAACUGACGCUGAGGCUCGAAAGUAUGGGUAGCAAACAGGAUUAGAUACCCUGGUAGUCCAUACCGUAAACGAUGAAUGCUAAGUGUUGGAGGGUUUCCGCCCUUCAGUGCUGCAGCUAACGCAUUAAGCAUUCCGCCUGGGGAGUACGGCCGCAAGGCUGAAACUCAAAGGAAUUGACGGGGGCCCGCACAAGCGGUGGAGCAUGUGGUUUAAUUCGAAGCUACGCGAAGAACCUUACCAGGUCUUGACAUACUAUGCAAAUCUAAGAGAUUAGACGUUCCCUUCGGGGACAUGGAUACAGGUGGUGCAUGGUUGUCGUCAGCUCGUGUCGUGAGAUGUUGGGUUAAGUCCCGCAACGAGCGCAACCCUUAUUAUCAGUUGCCAGCAUUAAGUUGGGCACUCUGGUGAGACUGCCGGUGACAAACCGGAGGAAGGUGGGGAUGACGUCAAAUCAUCAUGCCCCUUAUGACCUGGGCUACACACGUGCUACAAUGGAUGGUACAACGAGUUGCGAACUCGCGAGAGUAAGCUAAUCUCUUAAAGCCAUUCUCAGUUCGGAUUGUAGGCUGCAACUCGCCUACAUGAAGUCGGAAUCGCUAGUAAUCGCGGAUCAGCAUGCCGCGGUGAAUACGUUCCCGGGCCUUGUACACACCGCCCGUCACACCAUGAGAGUUUGUAACACCCAAAGUCGGUGGGGUAACCUUUUAGGAACCAGCCGCCUAAGGUGGGACAGAUGAUUAGGGUG